rnacentral:rRNA from 1 species
UUUAAAUGAAGACCAGAACAAAAGAUUUAACGUUUUAAUUAAUUUCUUUAUUUAAAUUAUUCAAAUUUUUCUUAAAUGUAAAAAGACAUUUAUAAAAAAAAAAGACGACAAGACCCUAUUGAACUUAACUAAAGUUAAACUGGGGCAGUUAGUUAAUUAUUACUUUAAUCUCUAAAAAUUAAACAAACUGAUCCAAUAAUAUUGACAUUUGAUCAAGUUACCAUAGGGAUAACAGCGUAAUAUUUAUUUAAAGCCCUUAUAUAAAUAACAGUUUACGACCUCGAUGUUGAAUUAAUAACCUAACUAAAGCAAAAAAUAAUUAAGGAAGUCUGUUCGACUUUUAAAAAAUUACAUGAUUUGAGUUCAGACCGGUGAUAAGCCAGGUCGGUUUCUAUCUUUUAAUAAAUUUUUACAGUACGAAAGGACCUAAAAAACUAAUUUAAUUAUUUAAUUGGCAGAUUAAUGCAUUAGAAUUAGAAUCUAAUAAAACUAAUAUAUUAUUUAUUAUAUCAUAUCUAAUAAUUACCAUUAGU